CCAGGAGCCACCCGGGCUUCAAGAAAUGGGGCGGGGGCGGCGGGAGCCCCGCGUCGGCCGGAGCUGGAAACCCUGCCGGGCCCCGGCCUCGGCUUCUCGCCCCCAUCUCCCAUUGCAUUUAGGUCUCUUUGGCCAUAACCCUCGCGGUCGCCGGGAGUGGGGUGGAGCCGGGGCUCCCGGGAGGUGAGGUGGGGUGCUGGCAGCGGGCGUUGGUUUCGGAGGACUCGUCUGGAAGCGGCAGAAUCUUGGGUUAAGAUGGCUGUGUGGAUGUCUUCUUCAAGUUCCAGAGCUGCAUUAUAUCUUUUAUCAGGAAGAGUCUCCUCUUUCACAUAGUUCUAUCCAUGGUUAUGGUUGUCCAGAUGGACUUGAAACGUCAUCUUGCACACACCUGACUGCAUGCAUACCUGCACCCAGGAGCUCUUAGAGCCAGCUGAGUCUGGAGAAUGGGCUCUUGGACUUCAGUCAGUCAGGUAAUUGUGGAAUGAAGAGUGUCUCGGCCGUGGAGUCAACUAAGUGAGGAAUUCUUAGCCAUGGGCAAUUGUGCCCCCCAGGCGACACUUGCCUGGGUCUGGACAUUUUCAUCAUUACAACUGGGGAAUGCUACUGGCCUCUGGUGUGUGGAGGCCGGGGAUGCUGCUUCACGUCUUUCAAUUCACAGGACGUUUCCCAGAGCAAGACUUACUGGACCCCAAAUGUC